rnacentral:rRNA from 1 species
GACGAACGCUGGCGGCGCGUCUAACACAUGCAAGUCGAACGGCACCUGCCUUCGGGCAGAAGCGAGUGGCGAACGGCUGAGUAACACGUGGAGAACCUGCCCCCUCCCCCGGGAUAGCCGCCCGAAAGGACGGCUAAUACCGGAUACCCCGGGGUGCCGCAUGGCGCCCCGGCUAAAGCCCCGACGGGAGGGGAUGGCUCCGCGGCCCAUCAGGUAGACGGCGGGGUGACGGCCCACCGUGCCGACAACGGGUAGCCGGGUUGAGAGACCGACCGGCCAGAUUGGGACUGAGACACGGCCCAGACUCCUACGGGAGGCAGCAGUGGGGAAUCUUGCGCAAUGGGGGCAACCCUGACGCAGCGACGCCGCGUGCGGGACGGAGGCCUUCGGGUCGUAAACCGCUUUCAGCAGGGAAGAGUCAAGACUGUACCUGCAGAAGAAGCCCCGGCUAACUACGUGCCAGCAGCCGCGGUAAUACGUAGGGGGCGAGCGUUAUCCGGAUUCAUUGGGCGUAAAGCGCGCGUAGGCGGCCCGGCAGGCCGGGGGUCGAAGCGGGGGGCUCAACCCCCCGAAGCCCCCGGAACCUCCGCGGCUUGGGUCCGGUAGGGGAGGGUGGAACACCCGGUGUAGCGGUGGAAUGCGCAGAUAUCGGGUGGAACACCGGUGGCGAAGGCGGCCCUCUGGGCCGAGACCGACGCUGAGGCGCGAAAGCUGGGGGAGCGAAC